GAUGAACGCUGGCGGCGUGCCUAAUACAUGCAAGUCGAGCGAACAGACGAGGAGCUUGCUCCUCUGACGUUAGCGGCGGACGGGUGAGUAACACGUGGAUAACCUACCUAUAAGACUGGGAUAACUUCGGGAAACCGGAGCUAAUACCGGAUAAUAUAUUGAACCGCAUGGUUCAAUAGCGAAAGACGGUUUUGCUGUCACUUAUAGAUGGAUCCGCGCCGCAUUAGCUAGUUGGUAAGGUAACGGCUUACCAAGGCAACGAUGCGUAGCCGACCUGAGAGGGUGAUCGGCCACACUGGAACUGAGACACGGUCCAGACUCCUACGGGAGGCAGCAGUAGGGAAUCUUCCGCAAUGGGCGAAAGCCUGACGGAGCAACGCCGCGUGAGUGAUGAAGGUCUUCGGAUCGUAAAACUCUGUUAUUAGGGAAGAACAAAUGUGUAAGUAACUAUGCGCGUCUUGACGGUACCUAAUCAGAAAGCCACGGCUAACUACGU
rnacentral:rRNA from 1 species